rnacentral:rRNA from 1 species
UUAUUAAGGGCGCAUGGUGGAUGCCUUGGCUUCAAACAGCGAUGAAGGACGUAGCGUGCUUGCGAUAAGCGUCGGGGAGGUGGCGAGCAACCUUUGAUCCGGCGAUGUCCGAAUGGGGAAACCCCCGGCGAUGUCCGAAUGGGGAAACCCUAUCGAGGUCAUACUCGAUAACCUGCCGUGUAAUAGCGGCAUGGAGUACACCCGCUGAAGUGAAACAUCUCAGUAAGCGGAGGAAAAGAAAAAAAGCGAAACUUCUUUUUAGUUGCUAGUGGCUAGUUUCUAGUCGCUAGUUGCUAAAAGAUAGUUUCAACAUUCCCGUAGUAGCGGCGAGCGAACGGGGAACAGCCCAAACCCGAGACUUCGUUAGGAGAACGGCCCUGGAACGGCCGGCCAAAGAGGGUAAUAGCCCCGUAAACGAAAACGGUUUCGUGCUCUAAUCAUUAUUCUUGAGUACUGCCCAGGUAGGAGUCUGGGUAGGAAUCUGGGAGCACUAGUCUCCCAAGGCUAAAUAUGUUUGAAGACCGAUAGUGAACCAGUACCGUGAGGGAAAGGUGAAAAGCAGCCCGGUGAGGGCGGUGAAAUAGUACCUGAAACCAUGUGCUUACAAGGAGUCGAAGCCGGCGGUGACGGCGUGCCUAUUGAAGAAUGAGCCAACGAGUGUACGGAGAUUGCUUGACUAAACUACUUUGUAGUGAAGUCGCAGGGAAACCGAGUGUUAAUAGCGCGAUCUUAGAUUUUUAGUUCGUGUAAACCCCGACCCGAAACCAGGUGAGCUACCCAUGAGCAGGGUGAAUCCGCCGUAACUGGCGGAGGAGGCCCGAACCGGUUGAUCGUUCAACGUCUUCGGAUGACUUGUGGGUCGGAGUGAAAAGCUAAUCGAACCUGGAAAUAGCUGGUUCUCUUCGAAAUAAAUACAGGCAGUCCAAUCAAACUCCGAAUGCCAGUUACGUUAUUCCGGCAGUCAGCAGGCGGGGGCUAAGCUCCGUCGUGCAUGAGGGAAACAGCCCAGACCGCCGAUUAAGGUCCCUAAAUCAAUGCUAAGUGUUAAGGCGGUGGAAUUUCUUAAACAGCGAGGAGGUUGGCUUAGAAGCAGCCAUCCUUUAAAGAGUGCGUAACAGCUCACUCGUCAAGAGAUUCUGCGCCACAAAUGUAUCGGGGCUAAGCAUUGUACCGAAAUCGCGGAUGCGUGCGCGCGCGUGGUAGAAGAGCAUUUGCAUCUGCAGUGAAGCCCACGACGCGAGUCGGGGUGGAGCGGUGCGAAGAGAGAAUGUUGGCACAAGUAACCGCAAGUCAGGUGAGAAUCCUGACCGCCGAAAGUCCAAGGUUUCCUUGGCAAUGAUUAUCAGCUAAGGGUUAGUCGGUCCUAAGGGGAUGGCGAACGCCGGACCCGAUGGAUAUACGGUUAAUAUUCCGUAACCCGAGUUUUGAUCGAUGGCGCGACGGAGUGUAGUAGGUUGAGUGGAUUAUUGGAUUUCCAUUCAGCGCACGAGGGGGCAGUGUAGGCAAAUCCGCACUGCUGGAUUUAAUUCCGACUUCAAGUGCGAUGAAAAUGCGUUUCUUCGGAUCCUGCAAAUUCAAUCGAGCGCGCUUCCCAGAAAAACGUCUAAGAUUAUCGAAAUUCGGACCGUACCGCAAACCGACACAGGUGGACUAGUGGAGAACACUAAGGCGAACGGGUGAGACCUCGUUAAGGAACUAGGCAAAAAAGCGGCCGUAAGUUCGCAAUAAGGCCUGCCUCAUUGAGGCUGAGGCCGCAGCGAAAGUAUCUCUAGCGACUGUUUACCAAAAACACAGGUCCCUGCUAAACACGUAAGUGGAUGUAUAGGGGCUGACGCCUGACCAAUGCGAGAAGGUUAAAGAUUGUGGUC